rnacentral:rRNA from 1 species
GCAAGUCGAGGGGUAACAGGAGAGCUUGCUCUCGCUGACGACCGGCGCACGGGUGCGUAACGCGUAUGCAACCUACCUCUUACUGGAGGAUAGCCCUAAGAAAUUGGGAUUAAUACUCCAUAACAUUGCUUUUUCGCAUGAUUUAGCAAUUAAAGUUCCGGCGGUAAGAGAUGGGCAUGCGUGACAUUAGCUAGUUGGUAGGGUAACGGCUUACCAAGGCAACGAUCUAUAGCUGGUUUGAGAGGAUGAUC